AAUGGACUGUGGGAGAGUGGGAAGUUUGACAAGGGUGAUGAAGUUGGUAUCUUGGUGGAUUUAUAAUGUACUUGUACUAUUGUUAUGUAUGUUAUUUAUAUUUGUGCCUGGGUGCCUCCUAAAAGCUCUGGAGCUUCAACUCUCCUCCUGCCCCAUAUUGGGUCCUGUCCGCCGACUAUGACAACUACGCGCUGGUCUACAGCUGCACUGACCUGGGGCUGAUCCAUCUGGAGUUCGCCUGGAUCCUGAGCAGAGAGCCCAGCCUCCCCGAUGAGACGAUCGAAGAGCUGCACAGCACCCUGUCCUACAUCGGAGUCAGAGUGGACAAGCUGCUCACCACAAACCAGGAUGCGGCUUAUUGCAAGACCAUGAGCGAGUAAACACCGUUUUCACUGAAUGUCUCGACGCAAUAAACUUAAAUGCUUGAAACCAA